GGGCCGCUAGCUCAGUUGGUAGAGCAGCUGACUCUUAAUCAGCGGGUCGUAGGUUCGAGCCCUACGCGGCCCACCA
rnacentral:tRNA from 2 species